CCUACGGGAGGCAGCAGUGGGGAAUCUUGCGCAAUGGGCGAAAGCCUGACGCAGCCAUGCCGCGUGAAUGAUGAAGGUCUUAGGAUUGUAAAAUUCUUUCACCGGGGACGAUAAUGACGGUACCCGGAGAAGAAGCCCCGGCUAACUUCGUGCCAGCAGCCGCGGUAAUACGAAGGGGGCUAGCGUUGCUCGGAAUUACUGGGCGUAAAGGGAGCGUAGGCGGAUAGUUUAGUCAGAGGUGAAAGCCCAGGGCUCAACCUUGGAAUUGCCUUUGAUACUGGCUAUCUUGAGUGUGGGAGAGGUUAGCGGAACUCCGAGUGUAGAGGUGAAAUUCGUAGAUAUUCGGAAGAACACCAGUGGCGAAGGCGGCUAACUGGCCCAUUACUGACGCUGAGGCUCGAAAGCGUGGGGAGCAAACAGGAUUAGAUACCCUGGUAGUCCACGCCGUAAACGAUGAGUGCUAGUUGUCGGCAUGCAUGCAUGUCGGUGACGCAGCUAACGACAUUAAGUACACUCCGCCGUCGGGGAGGUACGGUCGCGAAGAAUUAAAACUAACGAAAGGAAGUUAGACGGCGUGAGACGUACGACCGAACGGACGACCGACGAGGGGAGGUUAGG
rnacentral:rRNA from 1 species